rnacentral:rRNA from 1 species
UACGAGGGGGGCGAGCGUUGUUCGGAAUUAUUGGGCGUAAAGAGCUCGUAGGCGGCUUGUCGCGUUGUCCGUGAAAACUCACAACUCAAUUGUGGGCGUGCGGGCGAUACGGGCAGACUGGAGUACUGCAGGGGAGACUGGAAUUCCUGGUGUAGCGGUGAAAUGCGCAGAUAUCAGGAGGAACACCGGUGGCGAAGGCGGGUCUCUGGGCCGAUACUGACGCUGAGGAGCGAAAGCGUGGGGAGCGAACAGG